UUUCCUGCCACAAACCACUUAGUUCAGCAAAGUACUAAGCAAUGAUCAUCUCUCCUUGUUUCAUACUAUGAAGCUCAUAGAUCUGUCCAUCAUUGCCCAUGUGAGAAUAAGUUUGGGAGACUGCAUUCCAAAUAGCUACUGCACUGUUCAAUAGCAAAUAUCCACAGGCUAUCUGAGGUUGCAUCAAAUUUAUAAGCCAAGACAAAAACAAGAGAAUUCUUUGAUUCCCAUUGACUAUAAGUGGUACUCUCAACUUUCGGUUUUGUUUUAUCCCCGAUGGCAUAUCCAUGCAGUCCUCUAGCCUGAAUGACCAACAAACAAAAUCUUGACCAUGCAAGAUAGAUAGUACUGUCAAGCUUUAUGAGAUUGAUUUGUAAAGAAGGAUUAUCAGUCAUAGUACCUAUCUUGGUUUCUGAAAGUUUCUUUUUUUUCCUCAGCCAUUAAAAAAAGAACAGUGGAAUAACAAUACCAGACAAGAAACACAGUUGUACAGGUUCAAACAAAUAGGUCCAAGUAUCAAGGUGCAAAUGAGGCGAGAGGAACAGGUUGGGCAGAGGCGUGAUGGUCAGGGGAGAACAUCGGAAGAAGAUUCAGCUAGAAAAUGUUGUUGGAAGAGGGUUCACGCGCCAGCGCAUGGAAAACUAGUAAGAUCUUAUGUUGGCGUGUGAGUCCACAUGCUUCAUCGGAAGGUGAUGAGUCUCUGGUGACAAACCGAUAAGAGGCUGGUUUCCUCCAAGGGUAGAUGGUGACAGUUCAACCCCUUCUACAGGUCACUAGAAGCUUACCCACUUAGAAAACUUAGAUCUUAAAAAAAAAAGAAAAUUACUGCACUAGAAGGUGCCUGUGCUCUGAUACCAUGAUUAACUAGGUAUUUGGAAGAGAAAAAUUCUAUAUUUUCGAUAUAUAAAAACUUUGUACACUUUAUCCUAUUUAUAUACAAUGAUUCUAGAUAUAAAAAGAAGCCUUGAUAGACUAGAAGACUAUCGUAACAGAAAGAAAGUAAUUACAAUUAUAUACAAAUUCUACAACGAAUGAAACACUCAUACAGUCAUACAGGUGAAUGAAACAUGGGAUUCCAACAGUUUUCAACACUUGAAGUCUUGUGUCACAUUGAUCUCCAUUAAUUAUUUGACUUCCUUUCUUCUUGUAAAUUCCACUAAUGCCAUUUAAUUAAGUAUUCUUGACAUAUCAAGGUGAAAAUUACAAUAGAAAUAAGCUCAAAUACACAAAUAAAUGAAUUUAUAACCAAUAGUAAUUAUAACAAUUUUAUAAUACAACCCUUGUAUAUA
rnacentral:misc_RNA from 1 species